UACGGGGGGGGCAAGCGUUGUUCGGAAUUACUGGGCGUAAAGGGUCUGUAGGUGGCUUGUUAAGUCAGACGUGAAAUCCCUCAGCUUAACUGGGGAACUGCGUCUGAUACUGGUGAGCUUGAGUGCAGGAGAGGAACGCGGAAUUCCAGGUGUAGCGGUGAAAUGCGUAGAUAUCGUGAGGAACACCAGAGGCGAAGGCGGCUACCUGGACAAUUGCUGACGCUCAGGCACGAAAGCGUGGGGAGCAAAAGGG
rnacentral:rRNA from 1 species